UACAGGGGGGGCAAGCGUUUGUUCGGAAUUACUGGGCGUAAAGGGCUCGUAGGCGGCCAACUAAGUCCGACGUGAAAUCCCAAAGCUUAACUUUGGAACUGCGUCGGAUACUGGAUGGCUUGAAUUCGGGAGAGGGAUGCAGAAUUCCAGGUGUAGCGGUGAAAUGCGUAGAUAUCUGGAGGAAUACCGGUGGCGAAGGCGGCAUCCUGGACCGACAUUUGACGCUGAGGAGCGAAAAGCUAGGGGAGCGAACGGGGAUUAAGAUAACCC
rnacentral:rRNA from 1 species